rnacentral:rRNA from 1 species
CGAAGGGCUAGCGUUGCUCGGAAUUACUGGGCGUAAAGGGAGCGUAGGCGGACAUUAAGUCAGGGUGAAAUCCCGGGGCUCAACCUCGGAAUUGCCUUUGAUACUGGAUGUCUUGAGUAUGAGAGAGGUGUGUGGAACUCCGAGUGUAGAGGUGAAAUUCGUAGAUAUUCGGAAGACACCAGUGGCGAAGGCGACACACUGGCUCAUUACUGACGCUGAGGCUCGAAAGCGUGGGAGCAAACAGGAUU